GGACAGAGAGGGAGAGAUGGAGUCCUGAGGGGGCGCUGGAGUCCUGCGGAGGAGAUGAUGGACAGGAGUGGUCCUGAAGGGGGAACUGGAGGCAUGGCAGUGGAUGAUGGACAGGAAGGUCGAGGAGAGGUCCAGAGGGGCGCUGAAGUAACUUAAGGACGACGAAGUGGAGAAGAACCGACCUGGAGAGUCUGGGAGGACCGGCAAGAUAAUGAGUGAAACCUUCCAGUGCUUUUGACUUUGUCCAGCAGCGAGCUGUGCAUUCACGCUCUAGGCGGUUGAAGUGACCCUGUGAUGUGCUUCAAGGACCUUUAUCAUUGGAAAGUGGGUACCCAAGAGGCUUUGAUGAGGUCCCAGAACAAGAAGAGCUGGAGGAAGCUGGGUGGUGACACUUAGAAUCACUUUAGUCAUUCAUUAAAUUGUUGCUGUUCUCA
rnacentral:lncRNA from 1 species